CAGGACGAACGCUGGCGGCGUGCCUAAUACAUGCAAGUCGAACGGUCUUUCUAUGGAAGCUUGCUUCCACUGAGAAGAUAGUGGCGAACGGGUGAGUAACACGUGGGUAACCUGCCCAUAAGAGGGGGGAUAACAUCCGGAAACGGGUGCUAAUACCGCAUAGUUUUCUUGAUUGCAUGAUUGAGAAAGGAAAGACGGCCUUUGUGCUGUCGCUUAUGGAUGGACCCGCGGCGUAUUAGUUAGUUGGUGAGGUAACGGCUCACCAAGACGAUGAUACGUAGCCGACCUGAGAGGGUGAUCGGCCACAUUGGGACUGAGACACGGCCCAAACUCCUACGGGAGGCAGCAGUAGGGAAUCUUCCGCAAUGGACGAAAGUCUGACGGAGCAACGCCGCGUGAGUGAAAGAAGGUUUUCGGAUCGUAAAACUCUGUUGUCAGAGAAGAACAAGUUGGAGAGUAACUGCUCCAGCCUUGACGGUAUCUGACCAGAAAGCCACGGCUAACUACGUGCCAGCCGCCGC
rnacentral:rRNA from 1 species